rnacentral:rRNA from 1 species
CCUACGGGAGGCAGCAGUAGGGAAUCUUCCACAAUGGGCGCAAGCCUGAUGGAGCAACACCGCGUGAGUGAAGAAGGGUUUCGGCUCGUAAAGCUCUUUUGUUGGAGAAGAACGUGCGUGAGAGUAACUGCUUACGCAGUGACGGUAUCCAACCAGAAAGUCACGGCUAACUACGUGCCACCACCCUCGGUAGUACGUAGGUGGCAAGCGUUAUCCGGAUUUAUUGGGCGUAAAGCGAGCGCGGGCGGUUGCUUAGGUCUGAUGUGAAAGCCUUGGGCUUAACCUAAGAAGUGCAUCGGAAACCGAGCGACUUGAGUGCAGAAGAGGUCAGUGGAACGCGAUGUGUAGCGGUGGAAUGCGUAGAUAUAUGGAAGAACACCAGUGGCGAAGGCGGCUGUCUGGUCUGCAACUGACGCUGAGGCUCGAAAGCAUGGGUAGCGAACAGGAUUAGAUACCCCAGUAGUC